CUACUACAGUUUCGUCCCCAGAUAAAUAUCUGACUGAAAUUCUUGUUUCAAUUUCAGAGAGCUCAGCGUUCAGAAGAAACUGAACAAACAAAUAAUGGAGAAAAUGCGGUGGCGGAGGCGGAGGCGGAGGAGAGACAGCCGCUGGUGGCGCGCGCGGAGCGACGGCCGCGGGGCUCGCGACGUGCGCGCAGGGCGCAGCGACAGAACGCAUCCAUCAACAGUGACACACGAGGGGAAAUUGGUGUAGCAGCGUUACCGGUAACACCGGCGGACGCGGCGCCGCAGCACAUGAUAUUAUGAGUGUGACCGCACGCGACGUGUAUCCGAACGUGUGACGUCACGCGACGCGACGCCAUCUUGAAACGUCCAAACAGAACCGCGACAUUCGUGGCGGCCAUUGCAAACACUACGAGGAUCGAACUGAGGUAAAAUCAUUUACAAUUGGAUUAAAGUGUUGUGCAAUAUUAACUCUAGAUUUUGUUUUUCAAUCGUGAUAAGGCUCGGUUAAAAUUAUUUGUGUUAGAAAGAUUUUAUUUGAGAAUAUUAUUAAGAUGGUAUAUUAUAAUUUUGUCCAUUCUCAUUUUGCACCCACAAUCAUUGUAAUGUUUAAGGCAUUAGUUUAAUCUGACGUUAAAUAUUGACGCGAAUUUCACUUUGACAAAUAAUUUGUUAAACUCUUAUACAUGAGUAUGCAGCUGAUAAGUAUAGUGAAAUAUAAAUUAGACAAUUUUACAUAACAACGAUUGUUUAUGAAUGAAGUGAAUCAGAAUCAAAACUCGUGAAAAAAUUCUUGAGUAAGGUUUGUUCACUUGUGUGUCGACUUACAAAGCAUUGCAUACUUGUAGUUUUGAAAGAUUUUGUUUUGCUCGAUAAUUGUAAUGUACACGUAAAUAUUUUUGUAUAUAAAAAUUACAAGUGUGAUUUGACAAACUUUAUUAUAUUGAACACACUAGAUACAUUCAAAUUAAAUUGACGAAACCAAUUAUAUUGUAUAACAAAAUCUUAACAGCAUCAUGGUCGGUAAUUCAUGAAAAUGGGUAUUUUUAAAAUACGAACCAAUUAUUGUAACUCGACCACCUAAAAAGAAGGUCACUGUACUUGUAAACUCCAAAAACUACUUUCAAAACUAUUAUUAAUGUUGUCUUUGCAUAAUAUAUUCUGGUCAGCCUAGCCCAAAAUGUAUGCACGACAAUUUUAUAUUUUGGACUUUCUAAUAAAACUCUUUCUUCCAUUUAUUUCCUUAGCUAUGGGAAAAAGUCAAUUGAAUUUUCCAUUAAAAAACAUCACAAAUUAUGUACUCGUACACUUGCUCGUAAGUUUCUAAUUUUUCACCUUGUUUAUUCUUUUUUUAAUCGACUUCAAUAAGGAGGAGGUUCUCAAUUUGUCUAUGUUUUUAUGUACAUAUUUCGUUAAUUGUAUAUUGAAUUUGCUUGUCGUUUUUGUAAAUAUUUUGAAUUACUAACUCAAUGAGAAACAUAAAAAGGACAAGUAACCUAAAUUUCAUAUUAAAAUUCUACAAGAAAUGUCAAUAAGGAUAAAAGAAUCCUCGAAUUAUAAACGGAACAUUGAAUAAAUGUCACUGAACUAUCAUGAAUGCCGCCCGUUUCUAGUUUACCUAGGUAAAACGGAGAGGUAAGAAUUUAUUUCAUAUCUAAUACAAGUUAUUUGUUAUAAUGGUGCUCGAAUCGUAUCGUAAACGAAGAGUUUUUACGAAGUGUCUUCACUUUUUGAAUGAAUUUGUUCUACUAUAAACGUCCAAACCUAGUCAAUUAUAAACGGGCGAUGUACACGAUUUACCAGUGACAUGAUGUAAAAGCCGAGCCGUUUUAGAUGUCAGUAUAUUUUUUUAUAGCUUACUAACACGCUUAAUGAACUUUUAGUAUAGUAUUAGAAGAAAUGUUAUAUUUUUAAUUGUGUUUAAAUCUUCCUUUGCCAUUUUUACAUUUUAUCUUCGUUUUGUAAGUUAAGAUAUGUAUAUUUAAAAUUGUCUGUACCUUAUGUGAUAUAAAUAUAGUUUUCUUCUCGACUGGUGACAGAAGGGACUAAUAUAUGUAAAGAUAAAUUUAAGUUAUUACACUAGGAGCGACGGAGCUUCUCAUCGUUACAACUUCUUAGGAUAUAACCAAAGAAAUAAAAUCGUUUGGACACAAA